CCCUGGGCUGCACGGCCCUCCUGGGCCCUCUCUUGGGGCUCCUCACGAUCUUCCUGCACCUGCUCCCACUUCCAACUGCCGCUGGCUCUCUGCUCCGCUCCCUCGAUUUGCCGGGAGAAGCCUGCCUGACUGGCCACUGCAUGCCAGCGAGGGUGGGCCAGCUGGCCAUGGCUGCCCUUUGGCCGGUGUCCCACUUCCAGAGGAGUCAGGACCUGGGGUCACGGAGCAACCUCCAGAAGCUGUUUAUCAGCAGGUGGAAAGUCACAGGACCGCUGGGAGGCAACGGGAAGGGAGAGACUGAGCCGAGGCACAGGGAAGCAUGAAGGCCAUUGUCCUGAGCUGCAGAAGUGAAAAGCAGAGAGAGGGCCACUCUCAGGAUCCCUGAUGAAAACUGAAGCCCACUAGAAAAGUGAAGGGAAUCUCUGCAAUAAAGGCACACCCGACCACUGUGCUUGAAGAAGCGAGGGACAUCAAACAAAGAUCACCCCGCCUGUAAGCAACAGAGCUGAGACUCAAGCCAGGCACUUUCUCCUUCCCUCUUAGUCACUGUGUGACACAAUUCGGGGUUCAGGCUUGGGCAUCGGGAGGAAUGAUGGAGCCGUUCACCACAGGAGACUCCACAGGAGGUCCCAUGAAGGUGGGUGGGAAGAAAGCUAGGAACAUGGCUUCCAACAGACAGAGGGAGG
ensembl:lncRNA